GACGAACGCUGGCGGCGUGCUUAACACAUGCAAGUCGAACGGAAAGGCCCUGCUUUUGUGGGGUGCUCGAGUGGCGAACGGGUGAGUAACACGUGAGUAACCUGCCCUUGACUUUGGGAUAACUUCAGGAAACUGGGGCUAAUACCGGAUAGGAUCUCCUGCUGCAUGGUGGGGGUUGGAAAGUUUCGGCGGUUGGGGAUGUACUCGCUGCUUAUCAGCUUGUUGGUGGGGUAGUGGCUUACCAAGGCUUUGACGGGUAGCCGGCCUGAGAGGGUGACCGGCGACAUUGGGACUGAGAUAGGGCCCAGACUCCAACGGGAGGCAGCAGUGGGGAAUAUUGCACAAUGGGCGGAAGCCUGAUGCAGCAACGCCGCGUGCGGGAUGACGGCCUUCGGGUUGUAAACAGAUUUCGACUGUGACGAAGCGUGAGUGACGGUAAUGGGUAAAGAAGCACCGGCUAACUACGUG
rnacentral:rRNA from 1 species